AAGUCGUAACAAGGUUUCCGUAGGUGAACCUGCGGAAGGAUCAUUAACACUUUUUUAAAACAAAGAUUUCAUUGACGAAAUUCAAUUUUUUCAAUGAAACUUUAUUUUACCCACAUUUUUUGGAUGAAUUAUAUCUUUUUUUUUUUAAUACUUUAUUAAACCCCAACAACAACUAUUAUCAUUAUUAUUUCUAACAUUUUAUUAUUAAGAAAAAAAACAUAAAAAACAACUCUUAACAACGGAUAUCUAGGCUCUC
rnacentral:misc_RNA from 1 species